rnacentral:rRNA from 1 species
ACAUGCCUACAAAUUAGUGUUAAUGCACUAGAUCCCAUUAUAAAUUCACAAUUAAGAGCACUCGAGCUAGAGUGGUAUUGGGAUGGGUGACCGCCCAGGAAGUCCUACUAUUUUACAUGCC